rnacentral:rRNA from 1 species
AUGACAGGAUCCAACUCGAGUGUACAUGGACAUCAACAUGUGGAAGAUGAUCUCCCAAAAACUCGCGCAUCACUUGGUGAUAUGAUUGAGGAGAGUAUAGUCGCAGCUAUGCGAAGGAUGUUUGGUGGUCGUCUUCCUAUCACGGGCAAUGGGGAUCAACAUCAACACAGCCCCGCUGCCUCGCUGGCUGCCGACAACCGGCAACGUCCAGGAAACGACGAUCGCCAUGUUGGUCGUGGAAGAGCGGCAGGAGCUGCCGCACACGGCGGCCCUGUUGUUGGUGUUGAACGGAGGCGUGGCGAAUUUGCUGCCCCCGUGAGGUGGGCUGCAUGGAGGAGAAGCUCGCGGGCAAGGCCAUGA